rnacentral:lncRNA from 1 species
UUGGCAUCAUGCUCUCUCUUGCACCUUAUGUUCAACCUUAACCAAAAUAACCUCAUAUUACGUUCCGCUAUAUAUAGCGUUUUCCUCUCAAGAUCAGCAAGAUGCUUCCCUCCCAAAACCCUUCAGGUUUGAAGAUUUUUGGUACCAAUAUCCUAACUUUGAUUCUUUAAUAAAAGGAUGGUGAACCUCUACUGGUGCAGUAUCAAACCUAGC